GACGAACGCUGGCGGCGUGCUUAACACAUGCAAGUCGAACGGAGUGGUGAACGGGUGAGUAACACGUGGGUGAUCUGCCUUGCACUUCGGGAUAAGCUUGGGAAACUGGGUCUAAUACCGGAUAGUGCAAGAUGAGCUCGCGGCCUAUCAGCUUGUUGGUGGGGUAAUGGCCUACCAAGGCGUCGACGGGUAGCCGGCCUGGGAGGGUAGACGGCGACAUUGGGACUGAGAGAGGGCCCAGACGCGUACCGGGGGCAGCAGAGGGGAGUAUUGCACAGUGGGCGGGAGCCUGAUGCAGCGACGCCGCGUGGGGGAUGAAGGCCUUCGGGUGGUGAACUCCUUUCGACAGGGACGCGGUACCUGUAUAAGAAGCACCGGCUAACUACGUGCCAGCAGCCGCGGUAAUUC
rnacentral:rRNA from 1 species